rnacentral:rRNA from 1 species
CCUACGGGUGGCAGCAGUGAGGAAUAUUGGUCAAUGGACGAGAGUCUGAACCAGCCAAGUAGCGUGAAGGAUGACUGCCCUAUGGGUUGUAAACUUCUUUUAUAUGGGAAUAAAAUGUUCCACGUGUGGGAUUUUGUAUGUACCAUAUGAAUAAGGAUCGGCUAACUCCGUGCCAGCAGCCGCGGUAAUACGGAGGAUCCGAGCGUUAUCCGGAUUUACUGGGUGGAAAGGGAGCGUAGGUGGAUUGUUAAGUCAGUUGUGAAAGUAUGCGGCUCAACCGUAAAAUUGCAGUUGGAACUGGCAGUCUUGAGUACAGUAGAGGUGAACGGAAUUCGUGGUGUAGCGGUGAAAUGCUUAGAUAUCACGAAGAACUCCGAGUGCGAAGGCAGUACACUGGACUGCAACUGACACUGAGGCUCGAAAGUGUGGGUAUCAAACAGGAUUAGAUACCCCUGGUAGUC